rnacentral:tRNA from 1 species
GCGCCCGUGGCUCAGCUGGAUAGAGCAUCUGACUACGAAUCAGAGGGUCGGGGGUUCGAAUCCCUCCGGGCGCACCA